ACAGUGAGAGAAAGAGAGAUUUCAAGGAUUGGUAGUUUUCCUCUCAUCUCUGUCACACUCAACCUCUCUCUAACCCUUUCUUUUUCACUCUCUUUCAGACUCUCCCUUUCUCCCAACUCUCCAUCUCUCUCAACUUUAGUCCUAACCCUAAUUUGUUCUUUCAUUCCUCAAUUUUCUCCAUCUAAGCAACGAAAAAUCGAACUGGGUUUUCAAAUUAUUGAUGCACAGGGAUUCACGGACAGAGAAAGGAGAGAGAGAGUUGAUUGAGGGAGUUGGUGAGUAUGGGCUUGCACAGAAGGAAGAACGCAGAAAGAGAGAGAGGGAAAGAGAGAGGGAGAGAGACAAAGAGAGAUUGUGGAAAGAGGAGGAUGACGAAAAUUGAGGAGGAACCCAUGUCUGCAAAAAGUGAGUAAGUACUGAACCAAAGCUUAUUUUCUUUAAUGUAUUUGUGAUUUCUUUGUAGGACGCUACUGCAACACUCAAGUCCGUUUAGAAAACAGAGAGCGCACGACUUAAGGAUCUCGGGCCCAAGGUAAAAUAAGAACGAUUUGGAGCAAGUGACUCACAAAGUUAAACUUCGAUAUCGAAAUUAAUGGAAACCCAUUGAAUGCAUUGUAAUGGGUCUCUUUGGAAAAAUAGUUCUUAACACCAAUUGUGAGGUUUGUUCUUAUAUGGUACAUGACUAUUUUUAUAUUUCUUUUACACGGUUGUUAGUAUUUGUAGUUGUGAUUGGUGUUGUCCUACAUGUUUGAAUUUGGAUAGUCUAGGGUUUCUGAUGAGUUUUCUUUUUGUGGUUAAGCCUGGAUUUCCCGAGAAAGUGAGAGAUUGGAUGGAAAACAAACAAUGCCUGGAUUUCCUCUUUGUACUACCUGUUUGGCUGUUUCUUAAAAUUAAAUCGUAGCAAGUAUAAAUCAACUCUCUCUGUUUGUGGGUUUGGAUGGAAUCUGUAUUUCCUUCUUGCAUUUUAAUUCUUAUCAUGUGUUUGGUUUAUAAGAAAAUGUGAUAAUCAGGAGGGUAAAGCGAGGGAUUGGAUGGAAAACAAACAAUGCCUGGAUUUCCUCUUUGUACUACAUGUUUGGCUAUUUCUUAAAAUUAAAUUGUAGCAAGUAUAAAUCAACUCUCUGUCUUUGUGGGUUUGGAUGGAAUCUGUAUUUCCUUCUUGCAUCUUAAUUCUUAUCAUGUGUUUAGUUUAUGAGAAAAUGUGAUGAUCAGGAGGGUGUGAUAUUUCUUAUUAGAGAAAUCUUUACUUAGCAAUCAAACAGGAUAUUAUUGUUUCCAAAAUAUUCUCUGAAUUUUCAUGGGUUAUUAGGUGAAUAUGUGACCGUAGUGAUUUGAAAGAACUUGAAUGUGUGACUAACUUUGAUGAAUUCUAAACUUGCCGACAUUCUUUCCGGCAAUGACAAGGAUCGUGGGAACGCUUGGUCCAAAAUCACAAUCGGUUGAAACAAUCUCCGAUUGCUUGAAGGUGGUACAAUACUUCUAUCGAUGAUGGUCAUUAUUUUUCAAAGAAUGCUAUCGAAUUUCAAGAUUGAAAAUUGCUGGCUUUCAAUCUUUUUGAACAAGUUACCUUUGUAAGGUAUCAAAACUAUAAUUUUUCUAUAGCAAAUAAAAUUCUUUCCUUCACUAUGGUAAUUUUGUUUAGAUUAGCUUCUGUAACUUAGGAAUAAUGAAUGUCACAAUUGAUAAUAAGUUGAUACUUUGUUCGGAGCUUAAAUUGUAGAUCUGUGCAAGAUAUCCAUAUAUGGAUCAAUGCUACAGACUCUUCUCAA